rnacentral:rRNA from 1 species
UACGUAGGGGUCGAGCGUUGUCCGGAGUUACUGGGCGUAAAGCGCGCGCAGGCGGCGCGAUAAGACCGGCGUGAAAGCCCCCGGCUCAACCGGGGAGGGUCGUUGGUGACUGUCGCGCUUGAAGGCAGCAGGGGUGAGUGGAACUCCCGGUGUAGUGGUGAAAUGCGUAGAGAUCGGGAAGAACACCCGUGGCAAAGGCGGCUCACUGGGCUGACCUUGACGCUGAGGAGCGAAAGCAUGGGGAGCGAACAGG